rnacentral:lncRNA from 1 species
CUGAAGGUGGCUCAGUAGAGCAGAGACUCCUGUCUGGCCACCAGAUUACAGGCUCACACCUCGGCCCCUGCAGGGAACGGAUUGCUGCGUAAGAAGACACUGGUCCCAGGCCCAACAGGCUCUAGCCGCCCACUCAAGGGCCAGGUGGUGACCGUACACCUGCAGAUGUCCCUGGAGAAUGGCACCCGUGUGCAAGAGGAGCCCGAACUGGCUUUCACGCUUGGAGACUGCGAUGUUAUCCAGGCCCUGGACCUCAGCGUCCCGCUCAUGCAUGUGGGCGAGACAGCAAUGGUCACCGCUGACUCCAAGUACUGCUACGGUCCCCAGGGCAGCAGGAGCCCAUACAUCCCCCCCCAUGCAGCCCUGUGCCUGGAAGUCACCCUGAAGACAGCAGAGGAUGGACCUGACCUGGAGAUGCUGAGUGGGCAGGAGCGCGUGGCCCUGGCCAACCGCAAGCGGGAGUGUGGCAAUGCCCACUACCAGCGUGCUGACUUUGUGCUGGCUGCCAACUCCUAUGACCUGGCCAUCAAGGCCAUCACCUCCAACGCCAAAGUGGACAUGACUUGUGAGGAGGAGGAGGAGCUGCUACAGCUGAAGGUCAAGUGUCUGAACAACCUUGCGGCAUCGCAGCUAAAGCUGGACCACUACCGAGCAGCACUGCGCUCCUGUAGCCAGGUGCUGGAGCACCAGCCAGACAACAUCAAGGCACUGUUCCGCAAGGGCAAGGUGCUGGCUCAGCAGGGUGAAUACAGUGAGGCCAUCCCCAUCCUGAGGGCGGCCCUGAAGCUGGAGCCUUCCAACAA